AGUCACUGACAUUAGACUACCCGGUAGUCCCAGCCGUAAACAAUGUGCGUUAGGUGUGUCGGUAACCACGCGUUACUGAUGCGCCGAAGAGAAAUCGUGAAACGCACCACCUGGGAAGUACGGUCGCAAGGCUGAAACUUAAAGGAAUUGGCGGGGAGCACCACAACAGGUGGAGCCUGCGGUUUAAUUGGAUUCAACGCCGGACAUCUCACCGGAUAAGACAGCUGAAUGAUUGUCAAUCUGAAGGUUUUACAUGACUAGCUG
rnacentral:rRNA from 1 species